rnacentral:lncRNA from 1 species
AUUUUUGAUUUUCUGAUUUAAUUUCCUUUUAUUUUCUUUUAUUUUCUUUUAUUUCAAAAAAUCAUAACUCUUUCAUUUUAAUUCCAAAAAAUAUGAGACCAAUUGCAUUAUUUCCCUUUUAAUUUCUAUUUUCUAAAAAUGAUUUUUAAUAUUUUUUAUUUUAUCAUUUGAUAUUUUUUGUGAAUUUUCUCUUUUAUGGUUAUUUUUAAUUCAUUUUAAAUAGUUUUUGAUAUUCAAAAAAUACAAAAAUA